rnacentral:lncRNA from 1 species
CUUCCUCCUGCUCUGGCCAUCUAAUAUGGGCCUACUUCCCCUUUGCCUUCCACCAUGAUUGUAAGUUUUCUGAGGCCUCCCCAGCUGUGCCUGCCUACAGAACCGUGAGUCAAUUAAACUUCUUUCCUUUUUACCCCGUCUCACGUACUUCUUUAUAGUAAUGAGAGAAUGGAUGAGUGCACUUGUGCUGGCCUCUUUGCUGUUCCUGAAACUCACCAGGCAUGCUCCUGCCUCAGGGUCUUUGCACUUAUGCAGUUCCCUCUGCCUGGGAUGUCCUGUCCUCGGUCCCUCCCCUGCUUCAAGACAUUGCUCGGUGGCCACCUUCUUGGGGACUGACCAUCUUAUUUAAAAUGUGCACCCCACGCCUAUAGGAGUACUUUAUAUCCCUCUCCCUGUUUUACCUGGCUGUAGAGUGCCUAUCUCCAUCUGACAUGAUUCAUCUUUAUUUGUUCAUUUCAUGUCUCCUCCACUAGAAUGUCAGCCCCAUGAAGUCUUAGCUAUUUGUUUUAUUGACUGAUGUAUCAAUGCCUAGUGCACAGAUAUUUAAAAUUUGUUGAACAUAUAUAUGUAUGUAAUGAGUGCAUGUAAUAAAUAGUGCUGUGAUAAUCUUCAAGAAGCACAUGAUCAAAUAGGAACUAUAUCUAAAAUAAAUAAUGAGCUAUGUUUUAAGAAAGCUAGAAAUAAAUAUGGUAGCCCAAAGGGUAGAAAAUUCAUUUUGCCUGGUUGAAUGAGUGGCUAAAAUCACAGUCCUACAAUUUCAGGUGUGUCAUGUUGGAAAAUGUAUUAGUCAGUUUUCACACUGCUGAUAAAGACAUACUCGAGAAUGGGAAGAAAAACAGGUUUAAUUGGACUUACAGUUCCACAUGGGUGGGGAGGCCUCAGAAUCAUGGAGGGAGGUGAAAGGCACUUCUUAAAUGGAGAUGGCAAGAGAAAAAUGAGGAAAAUGCAAAAGUGAAAACGCCUGAUAUAACCAUCAGAUCUUGUGAGACAUAUUCACUACCCCUAGAACAGUAAGGGGGAAACCACCCUCAUGAUUAAAAUUAUCUCCUAUUGGGUCCCUCCCACAACACGUGGGAAUUAUUGGAGUAUAAUUCAAGAUGGGAUUUGGGUGGGAACAGAGCCAAACCAUAUCAUUCUGCUCCUGGCCCCUCCAAAUCUAAGGUUCUCAUAUUUCAAAACCUAUCAGGCCUUCCCCUCAGUCCCCCAAAUUCUUAACUCAUUUCACCAUUAACCCAAAAGUCCACAGUCCAAACUCUCAUCUGAGACAAGGCAAAUCCCUUCUACCUAUGAGCCUGUAAAAUCAAAAGCAAGCUAGUUACUCCCUAGAUAAAAUGAGGGUACAGGUAUUGGGUAAAUACAGCCAUUCCAAAUGGGAGAAAUUGACCAAAACAAAGGGGUUACAAGGCCCAUGCAAGUCUGAAAUCCAGUGGGGCAAAUUGUAAAGCUGCAAAAUGAUCUCCUUUGACUCCAGGUCUCAUAUCCAGGUCAUGCUGAUGCAAGAGGUGGGUUCCCAUGGUCUUGGGUAGCUCUAUCCUUGUGGCUUUGCAGGGUACAGCCUCCCUCCCAGCUGCUUUCACAGGCUGACAUUGAGUGUCUGCGGCUCUUCCAGGUGAACGGUGCAAGCUGUUGGUGGAUCUACCAUUCUGGGAUCUGGAGGGCGAUGGCCCUCCUCUCACAGCUCCACUAGGCAGUGCCCUAGUAGGGACUCUGUAUGAGGGCUCUGACCCCACAUUUCCCUUCUGCACUGCUUUAGCAGAAGUUCUCCAUGAGGUUCCCACCCCUGCAGCAAACUUCUGCCUGGGCAUCCAGGAGUUUCCAUACAUUUUCUGAAAUCUAGGUGGAGGUUCCCAAACCCCAAUUCUUGACUUCUGUGCACUCUCAGGCUCAACACCACAUGGAAGCUGCCAAGGCUUGGGGCUUGCACCCCAUGAAGCCAUGGCCUGAGCUCUACAUUGGCCCCUUUCAGCCAUGGCUGUAGCGGCUGGGAUGCAGGGCACCAAGUCCCUAGGCUGCACACAGCGUGGGGACCCUGGGCCCGUCCCAUGAAACCAUUUUCUCCUAGGCCUAUGGGCCUGUGAUAGGAAGGGCUGCCACGAAAACCUCUGACAUGCCCUAGAGAAUUUUCUCCAUCAUCGUGGGGAUUAACAUUCGACUCCUCAUUACUUAUGCAAAUUUCUGCAGCCAGCUUGUAUUUUUCCUCAGAAAAUGGGCUUUUCUUUUCUAUUACAUUGUCAGGCUGCAUAUUUUCUGAACUUUUAUGCUUGGCUUCCCUUAUAAAACUGAAUGCCUUUAAUGGCACCCAAGUCACAUCUAGAAUGCUUUGCUCCUUAGAAAUUUCUUCCACUAGAUACCCUAGAUCAUCUAUGUCAAGUUCAAAGUUCCACAAAUCUCUAGGGCAGGGGCAAAAUGCUGCCAGUCUGUUUGCUAAAACAUAACAAGAAUCUCCUUUGCUCCAUUUCCAAACAAGUUCCUUAUCUCCAUCUGAGACAACCUCAGCCUGGACCUUAUUGUCCAUAUCACUAUCAGGCUUCUGGUCAAAGCCAUUCAACAAGUCUCUAGGAAGUUCCAAACUUUCCCACAUUUUCGUGUCUUCUUCUGGGCCCUCUAACCUCUCCCUGUUGCCAAGUUCCAAAGUCACUUCCACAUCUUUGGGUAUCUUUUUAGCAACUCUACUGGUACCAAUUUACUGUAUUAGUCUGUUUUCAUGCUGCUGAUAAAGACAUACCCAAGACUGGGAAGAAAAAGAGGUUUAACUGGACUUACAGUUCCACAU